CAAUAGACCCUUGUGGUCCGGCCCUUCUCCGGACCCCGCGCAUAGCGGGAGUUUAGUGCACCGGGCUUCCCUUUUUACUAAGUUCUUGUGAUCAUGCUUUUGUGGUCUAAUUGGCAUGCUUGUAACAGUACUCUGUUUCAGAAUCAUUCUAAGUUGCAGAAGGUUUGCUAUGAGAACACAAGCAUACUCUCAAGGAUUCAUUUAGGUGGAAGCCAAAUGAUAAUCAGAAGCUCAAUCUUCUCACCACGGUCAAGAACCUGAUAUCAGACAAAAAUCUUGAGCAAAUUCAGAAUACAUUCAAUGUUGAAUUCAGUAAUAAAGCACUACAAAACAUGAAGAUUCUCCAUGUCAAUGGCGUAUGCAGAAUUUUACACAAGUGUUGUCAGAAGGUUAGUAGGUAGUCGAGUGUUUCCCUUUGCCUUCCUUAGUUCAAUAGUAUUAGUAGCAUAUGGUAUCAUUUUAACCUUGUAUUGUUAUUACUUGCUAUUAGUACUUCUUUCAUCGUUUGUUUUACUAUCUUGGUUUCAGUUUUCUAAAUAUCAGUGCUUCUUUCAUCUUUUCUUUAGCUAAUGGUCUAUCGAAAAUAGCCUCUACCCUUCCGGGGUAGGGGUAAGGUUGCAUACAUCCUAUCCUCCUCAGAACCCGCUUGUGGGAAUACACUGGGUUGUUAUUGCUGUCAGCCUAUUAUCGCAACUUAACUUGUAUGUUUUUUCAGUUAUGGGGCAGAAGAGGUUCUAAAGCUUUACUUCUUGCCCGAAUUAAUGUUUACAUUUUUUUCUUCUCUA